GGGUAGCACCGGGUUCGAUUGCCGGUGCGCGGAAGGGUAAGCACGCAGAGGAACGAGUGGCCUCUAUAAAACAUUCGGCUUAAAUUUAAAUGCAGACAAUGCAAACUAUCGCGCUGACGCUCAGUUGGCGUACGCUGCUUAAUCAACAUUAAGCGGUUCGUCCGUACCUCUUUCCCGUCGGGAGGCUGCGGGCGUCAUUUAAGGCGGGGGACUGCCGUUUUGAGGUGAAGUCGGCAAAACGGCGGACUUUCAGAUUUCUGCCGAUAUGAGCUUUCGGUCGCAGAGGCGCAUAUCGUAAGACAAUUGCGGCAUAAGCGUGUAGAAAGCCUUUUGGCAAUCCGGUAAGACGCGAGUUCAAUUCUCGCCUACUCCACCA
rnacentral:tmRNA from 1 species